rnacentral:rRNA from 1 species
UACAGAGGUCUCAACCGUUGUUCGGAUUCAUUGGGCGUAAAGGGUGCGUAGGCGGUCGUGCAAGUCGGAUGUGAAAUCUCAGGGCUCAACCCUGAAACUGCAUUCGAUACUGCGCGGCUAGAGUGCUGGAGGGGAGACUGGAAUUUACGGUGUAGCAGUGAAAUGCGUAGAUAUCGUAAGGAAGACCAGCGGCGAAGGCGAGUCUCUGGACAGCAACUGACGCUGAGGCACGAAGGCCAGGGGAGCAAACGGG